rnacentral:tRNA from 1 species
GCCGACUUAGCUCAGUUGGUAGAGCAGCUCAUUCGUAAUGAGCAGGUCAUCGGUUCAAGUCCGAUAGUCGGCU